UGACCGCUGGCGGCAUGCCUUACACAUGCAAGUCGAACGGUAACAGGUCUUCGGAUGCUGACGAGUGGCGAACGGGUGAGUAAUACAUCGGAACGUGCCCGAUCGUGGGGGAUAACGAGGCGAAAGCUUUGCUAAUACCGCAUACGAUCUACGGAUGAAAGCGGGGGAUCUUCGGACCUCGCGCGGACGGAGCGGCCGAUGGCAGAUUAGGUAGUUGGUGGGAUAAAAGCUUACCAAGCCGACGAUCUGUAGCUGGUCUGAGAGGAUGAUCAGCCACACUGGGACUGAGACACGGCCCAGACUCCUACGGGAGGCAGCAGUGGGGAAUUUUGGACAAUGGGCGAAAGCCUGAUCCAGCCAUGCCGCGUGCAGGAUGAAGGCCUUCGGGUUGUAAACUGCUUUUGUACGGAACGAAAAGCCUCUUUCUAAUAAAGAGGGGUCAUGACGGUACCGUAAGAAUAAGCACCGGCUAACUACGUG
rnacentral:rRNA from 1 species